rnacentral:misc_RNA from 1 species
AAGUCGUAACAAGGUUUCCGUAGGUGAACCUGCGGAAGGAUCAUUAACACGUAUCCACGUUAUCAACCAACUGUGAACUUGUUUUCAACUCUCCCUGCUGGCUACAUGAAUUGGCUAUUUUGUUAGGCUUAGUGAAAUGGGAGUCGCCUUCGGGUGACUCGGGCCUAGUGAAAAACCUGAGUUUAUUCUCUAACAAUUGUAGUAGUCGCAGGACAAACCGUUCUGCUAUCGCUUCGCCCUUUCAUCGAAGUGAUAGUAGGAUAAAUCUAAACACCAUAAUCACCCCAUUUUUGCUAGUUGACUUUUAUAUGUUGGUAUCAACGCGUACUUCAUUGAACGCCUGACAUCACACGUUUCUUAAUUGAACGUUAAAAUUACAACUCUUAGCAAUGGAUAUCUUGGUUCUC